rnacentral:rRNA from 1 species
GUGGGGAAUAUUGGACAAUGGGCGAAAGCCUGAUCCAGCCAUGCCGCGUGUGUGAAGAAGGUCUUCGGAUUGUAAAGCACUUUAAGUUGGGAGGAAGGGCAGUAAGUUAAUACCUUGCUGUUUUGACGUUACCGACAGAAUAAGCACCGGCUAACUUCGUGCCAGCAGCCGCGGUAAUACGAAGGGUGCAAGCGUUAAUCGGAAUUACUGGGCGUAAAGCGCGCGUAGGUGGUUUUGUAAGUUGGAGGUAAAAUCCCCGGGCUCAACCUGGGAACUGCCUCCAAAACUGCAUGACUAGAGUACGGGAGAGGGUAGUGGAAUUUCCUGUGUAGCGGUGAAAUGCGUAGAUAUAGGAAGGAACACCAGUGGCGAAGGCGACUACCUGGACUGAUACUGACACUGAGGUGCGAAAGCGUGGGGAGCAAACAGGAUUAGAAACCCCGGUAGUCC